rnacentral:rRNA from 1 species
UACGAAGGGGGCUAGCGUUGUUCGGAAUCACUGGGCGUAAAGGGUGCGUAGGCGGCCCGUUAAGUCAGUGGUGAAAUCCCAGGGCUCAACCCUGGAACUGCCAUUGAUACUGACGGGCUUGAGUUCGGUUAAGGCGGGCGGAACUGGUGGUGUAGCGGUGAAAUGCAUAGAUACCACCAAGAACCCCGAUUGCGUAGGCAGCUCGCUGGGCCGAAACUGACGCUGAGGCACGAAAGCGUGGGGAGCGAACAGG